UAAGAGGUGGCAUAGUGGCUUGAGUGCUGUACUGUGACUCUAGAGACCAGGGUCCGAUUCCCUGCUCCGCCA